rnacentral:rRNA from 1 species
GAUCCUGGCUCAGAUUGAACGCUGGCGGCAGGCCUAACACAUGCAAGUCGAACGGUAACAGGAAGAAGCUUGCUUCUUUGCUGACGAGUGGCGGACGGGUGAGUAAUGUCUGGGAAACUGCCUGAUGGAGGGGGAUAACUACUGGAAACGGUAGCUAAUACCGCAUAACGUCGCAAGACCAAAGAGGGGGACCUUCGGGCCUCUUGCCAUCGGAUGUGCCCAGAUGGGAUUAGCUAGUAGGUGGGGUAACGGCUCACCUAGGCGACGAUCCCUAGCUGGUCUGAGAGGAUGACCAGCCACACUGGAACUGAGACACGGUCCAGACUCCUACGGGAGGCAGCAGUGGGGAAUAUUGCACAAUGGGCGCAAGCCUGAUGCAGCCAUGCCGCGUGUAUGAAGAAGGCCUUCGGGUUGUAAAGUACUUUCAGCGGGGAGGAAGGGAGUAAAGUUAAUACCUUUGCUCAUUGACGUUACCCGCAGAAGAAGCACCGGCUAACUCCGUG